CAUCAUAACUCACAUCUUGAUCUUUUUGGUAUGCCAAUGAGCUGUGCUGGCAGACUUGACUUGAAUCCAACUCUUUAAAGUCUGCCGUGCCUGUUCAUUCUUAUCUGGGUUACUAUUGACCAUGAGACAAAGUUCACCAUUCAGCCUUUUUAGAAACAACCUUUUGAAAGUACAAGAUAUUUUGAGAAGCAAACAGAGGAAAUGAAUGAAGUGGCAUGAAUGGUAAUUGGCAGUGCACGUGUUUCAGAGGGUGCUCCAGAGGGAGGAGCAGAGACUACAGUUCUGUUUUGCAAGGACCAUGGUGACCACGAACCCCACAAAACAACUAGCCACUGAAUUUCUGGAUACCUGACAAUAUGGAUAGUCUGCUCUGGGUUAACUUCAUGUAAGUGUUUCGUACUGAAUAGGAAAAGCUUGGUAAGCAUGACAUGGAGCUUUACCUGUCUAUCUCAGUAGGAACAGCUGUGGCUUGGUGCAGGCACAGAGCUGGACAAAUAUCCAAAAGAGCUACAAUGUCUUCUGCUCUGUCACUGAACACAACAACAUGCUGCUCAGCAGAAGUUUCUCUGAUGGUCUGGAAGGGAAGCACAGAUUCAUGCCAAAAAGAAAUCUGCUGACCGGACACAGGGACUGUUCUCCCACUCUGAUCUUAUAAGUACACAGCUCAGGUUAUUGGAAGAUGUGGCUACAUGAUACCUCAUGAACUGGACACUAAUUCCUAUUAAAUCUACCAGGAAAAAGAAAAAAAAAAAAAGUCAAAAAUGUGCCCCAGAUGAAUCCCUAGGACUCAAAAUGAUGAAAAUAUCCCUUCUACUUUUUUAAAGAUUAUUUUUUUAAAUUAUGAAGUUACAUGUUUUUUCAACUGAUCAUGGUUUUGAGGACUGAUACACAAAGGCUGGAUGUUUGGAACUGGCAAAGGUAUACUGAGUAGACAUCUGACAGAUGACAAUGUUUCUUGAACGCUUCAGGACUGAAUGAUGGAGAAGAUGAAAAAGCCAUUUGAGAAAUGCCUUUCUUAUUCCAAAUCCUUUACUUCACAUUUCAACAGUAUGCCCAAGUUGGAUAUAAUGUUUCUUUCACUUAUGGCAAUGCAUAAUCCACAGAAAUGGUACUGGUCACAAUUCAGUCCCAUCCUCCCCCUCUCCAAGUAAUGAUUAAGCCACGAAGAGACUCUGCUGUGGGAUGGAGGAGACCAUGCCUACAGCCUGUGCUUGAGUGGUGGCAAAGGUCUGCACAGAAGAUCUAGGAAGCCUUUUCCAAAACUUCCAGUGCUGUCAGUCUUGGCUCCAUGGUAGGAGCCUGAGCCCCCUUCCAGCAGAGUGGUGAAGUCCAGUCGGGCAGCAGACCUGGAGUGCACAGCCUUACCCUGGAAAGGUUCCUGCAGCUCCCUGAGCAAGAGCUGCAGACACUGGAAUCUGCAGGCGGCUGGAGCCAGACACUGCCUGGCAGUGUUACAUCUGGCCAGGUUCAGAAUCCAGGUCAGGUUCAAAUUCUCUGAAAGUUUGUUAAAUCUGAGACAUUUUGGACAAGACACUCAAGACUCAACAAAAAGGCAUUUUUAAAUGAAAUUCUUUCACUGUGCAAUUCACAACAAAUACUAACUGUGAGUUAGCUCAUUAUGUAAACAGCAAAGUGUUGAAUUUUGGCUGCCUUCAAUACCUCUACUCUACUGCACUUUCUAACCAGAAUAUCAGUCUCUAGUAUGAUUUUAAUUAACCUUCUUUCUCUUGAUACUUAAGUGAGUGUUAUCACACUGUCUGAUUUUUUUUACAGUCACUGUUAAAUGUUAUUCCCCACAAAGCCCUUAACACAGGAAAAAUAAGUCCAUUUUGAAGCCCAAGGAUAAAACACCAGGUGUAAAUACAGGGGUAUUUGUGGAUCCACCAAAACAUGAACUUAAUUUUUUGAGUCUUCAUUCUUACCAUCUAUGCUGGCCUUAGAACAUCUGUCUCCAUCUUUUUCCCCUUACUCCAGCAUUACAGUCUCAACUCCACAUUUUCAUCUUUCAGCUGCAUGUAUUUAAUUAUGAGUCACUAUCCCAAAAGAAGAACAAAGUGAUUAUACUUCCAUGUGAAUUUGCAGAAUGUUAAUCUGGUUAUAGAUACACAAAUGAAAAUAAUGUAUGA